rnacentral:lncRNA from 1 species
GCUAUUUGACUGACUUGGUUGGGCCUGUGGCUGUGGGACAUUCUAAGACUGAUUUGGUGCCUGAGUUUUCCAUUUCAUGAUGUUGGUAUUACCUUAAUUUGGCCUUUGAGCAUCACCUACAUAUAUAAUGAAUUCUAUAUUUAAUGCACACAUGGCCGCUAUAUGACCAUUAUUUUUGCAUAUCUCACACAAAACUGCAGAUUAUUGGUUGACAUUGACUAUGGCUGUA